rnacentral:rRNA from 1 species
AGUGAACGCUGGCGGUAGGCCUAACACAUGCAAGUCGAACGGCAGCACAGUAAGAGCUUGCUCUUACGGGUGGCGAGUGGCGGACGGGUGAGGAAUACAUCGGAAUCUACUUUUUCGUGGGGGAUAACGUAGGGAAACUUACGCUAAUACCGCAUACGACCUACGGGUGAAAGCAGGGGAUCUUCGGACCUUGCGCGAUUGAAUGAGCCGAUGUCGGAUUAGCUAGUUGGCGGGGUAAAGGCCCACCAAGGCGACGAUCCGUAGCUGGUCUGAGAGGAUGAUCAGCCACACUGGAACUGAGACACGGUCCAGACUCCUACGGGAGGCAGCAGUGGGGAAUAUUGGACAAUGGGCGCAAGCCUGAUCCAGCCAAACCGCGUGGGUGAAGAAGGCCUUCGGGUUGAAAAGCCCUUUUGUUGGGAAAGAAAAGCAGCAGGUUAAUACCCCGCUGUUCUGACGGUACCCAAAGAAUAAGCACCGGCUAACUUCGUG